UGAAGGCCCUCGGGUUGUAAACCGCUGUCAGUUGGGAGGAAAUUAUUUAGGGCUAUCCCUAUUUAUUGACCCAUCUUCAGAGGAAGGACAGGCUAAGUUCGUGCCAGCAGCCGCGGUAAUACGAACUGUCCAAACGUUAUUCGGAAUCACUGGGCUUAAAGGGUGCGUAGGCGGCGUAGUAAGUUGGAUGUGAAAUCCUACGGCUCAACCGUAGAACUGCGUCCAAUACUGCUAUGCUUGAGGGAGAUAGAGGUAAGCGGAACUUCGGGUGGAGCGGUGAAAUGCGUAGAUAUCCGAAGGAACACCAGUGGCGAAAGCGGCUUACUGGGUCUCUUCUGACGCUGAGGCACGAAAGCUAGGGUAGCGAACGGGAUUAGAUACCCCGGUAGUCCUAGCCGUAAACGAUGAGCACUGGAUUGAAGGAAUUCCCAUAUUCUUUUGGUCGUACUGAAAAAGUUAAGUGCUCCGCCUGGGGAGUAUGUCCGCAAGGAUGAAACUCAAAGGAAUUGACGGGGGCUCACACAAGCGGUGGAGGAUGUGGCUUAAUUCGAGGCUACGCGAAGAACCUUAUCCUGGUCUUGACAUGUAUGGAUUAACUCUGUGAAAGCAGAGCCACGCCCUCGGGUGGAACAUACACAGGUGCUGCAUGGCUGUCGUCAGCUCGUGUCGUGAGAUGUCGGGUUAAGUCCCUUAACGAGCGAAACCCUUAUUCCUAGUUGC
rnacentral:rRNA from 1 species